rnacentral:rRNA from 1 species
UACGUAGGGUGCGAGCGUUGUCCGGAAUUAUUGGGCGUGAAGAGCUUGUAGGCGGUUUGUCGCGUCUGCUGUGAAAAUCCGGGGCUCAACCCCGGACUUGCAGUGGGUACGGGCAGACUAGAGUGUGGUAGGGGAGACUGGAAUUCCUGGUGUAGCGGUGAAAUGCGCAGAUAUCAGGAGGAACACCGAUGGCGAAGGCAGGUCUCUGGGCCACUACUGACGCUGAGAAGCGAAAGCAUGGGGAGCGAACAGG